AAGGCGGCAGGAAUUGAAACACAAAGCGGAGGAUGGAUUCAGGGAGUAUUCAGAGGCCGAGCUGGUGGGUUGGAGGCAGUAGAGAAAAGAGAGGAGCUAAGCCUACUAUCUGGUUAGGGGCCUGAGCAGUGGAACUGACACAAUUCCACUCAAAGACACAGGGCGACGACUCAGGCAAAAACACAUUUGUUAAGAAAAAGAAUUUCACACAGUGGCCUUAUAGCAAUUAUUAUUUUCUUCUUCCUAAUCUCUGUCUACGCCAGUAUUAACACUAAUAUCUAGAGGAAAGAAGGAGGCCGGAAAGGGGAGUUCUGCAUAUUACAUUCAGAACCAGACGCGGCAGAGGAGGCAGGCGCAGAAGCGGUUGGAAGAAUGGAAGAACUGAAGAGCAAGAGAAAGAACUUUCGCUCAGGGCUGGGCAAUUCAGUACCUCAGACGGGGGUGACACCCUUGGGAGAAUCUUACACUGGUUCUUGAAGGCAAGUAACCCCAAAUCUCUUAGCAUGAUCUCAACUUUGUCCUCAGGAGUCAUGAAGGGCCUAUUGCCUUUGGUAAUAGGGACACUUUUAAUCCAAUUGUAU
rnacentral:lncRNA from 1 species